AACACCGACGCUGCUAGGCUAUAAUGCUUUUUAUGUCUCUUGGUUUUAGGGUUUGUCGACGUCGUCAACCCUACUGCCUCACUUCUCCCUGUGUGCCGGCAACCCUGUCUCCCGCGUGCUCCUGUCGACGGUAACCCUCUCUCCAUCGUGCUCCAUUUGUCGAUAAUAUCUCUCCCUCAUGCUUUAGCCGCCAGCAACCCUCUCUCCCUCGUGCUCCAUUCGUCGAUAACCCUAUAUCCCUCGUGCUCCAACCUGCUCAAGGAUUGUAACACCGACCACCUACCAACAUUAAUUGUAUGUAGAAUUCAUUUAUAGUUUCAUCCAUCUCUCGUCAGUUGAUGCCAAACCAAUGUAUUUUGUUUAAUACAUUUUACUACAAUUCUGUGUUUGUUUGAUCAUGUAACCAUUUUAAUACAUUUUGUUUAGAGAUUAUGAUGAUCCGAACACUUAUCUAAUAAAUGUGUAAGAUAUAAUUGUGUACAAAGAAAACAAAAUCAAAAAUUAGUUAUUUACUUUAGUUUUUCGAUAAUCAGGAACAAUCAGUGUGAAGUGAAGUAAAUAACUAGUCCGAGUAUGAGACUGUUGGCCAAUUCUGCAAAAUGUUCCUAACAAUUUUUUUAUUGCAGAUGAUGAACUUCAAUGAAGUGCUCGACAAGGCCAUUGACAUCAUGCAACGUGCCACGAAGAAUAACAUGGGUAUCGGCAAGAACAAAUUCCUCCCUGAGAAGCCACCCCUGUUUGUUUCGGAUUAUAAUCUAUCUAGAUUAUAUAAUCUAGCGCAAAUAAUCCAGCAGGUAAACAAACACCUAGAUUAUGGGUUUAGAUUAUAUAAUUUAAAGCUCAGAUUAUGAUAAUCUCAUAAUCUCCUAAGAGUAGUUUAUUUGAUAUUAUUUUUGGCAAAAGACCCACUACACAUGAUUAUGUAAGUAGAAAUUACAAUAUAUGUCAUCCUUCCUUCCUCACCUCAAAUAAACAAAUAAGGGUACUGUUGUCUUUGUGAAUAAUCUACAUUUAUAUAAUCUAAACUACCAAACAACUACACGUAGAUUACAAUUUAUGUAGAUUAUAAUCUGAAUUAUAUAAUUUAGAUUAAAAUCCAGAUUAUAUAAUCUAUAAGCUGAAACAAACAGGCCCUAAGUGUAUAUGAAGUGAAUCAACUCACGUGAGGUGCUUGAAUUCACUGCAGAAGCAUUGGACAAAGACUCACGGGCUUGCCAAGAGGCAUUAGAUGCUCGCAAGGUUGAGAUCUAAGAGCACCUAUAAAUGGUGAAUAUGUGAUCUUGUAAAAAUCAAUACUAAACAACACAAACUUGGUUUAUGAAAUGUAAAGUCAAAACCAAGAUGCUAUGACUAGAGAGGGAGACAACUUCUUCACUUAAUCGUUCUUUACAAGAUGAGUGUAACACCCUAAAUUUGGGGUAUAAAAUUUCUUUCUAAGUAUCUACAAAAUUUAGGUGUUACUCUUGAAUCUCUCUCUAGCUUCUCUAUCUCUUUUUCAGUACAUUUGGCUUAAAUAGUGAGAGAUUAAUUAUUUAUUUUGCCAAAACAUAAUGAGUCAUAAAAUGUUGCAUCAUGUUGAGCUUAAAUAUUCUUUGAAUUGUUGCACAUGUUUAAAUUAGUUUGAAUUUGAAAUUUGGUUUGAAUUUAAAUUGAAAACCCUAGAGAAAAUAAAAUAGAAAAGCAAUUAGAAAUUCCUUGGAAAAAGAGAAAACCAAUUCAGCCCAAACCGGCCCAGUCCAGCCCAGCGGGGCCGUGCCCGCGCCGUCUGACAGGUGGGCUCCACCUGUGUAACAUCCCAAAAUUUAACCCCAAGGUUAGAAACCCUAAUCUCCUAACCCCCCUCUUGAUUAUUCCCUAGACUCCACCUCAUAGGACAUCCCAUCAUAUGCAUACACUAUGAUUGUUAGAAGCACCUCACAUAGAAUAUUUUUUUAGCACUUAAGAUUAUUUAGCUAAUUAUUUGUUCGAAAGAAAAGGACAUAAAAGAAAUAGAAAUAUGAAUUGGAAAUAGAAAAAGAAAAAGGAAAAUUCUUUCCCCCCUCGGCUGGGCCGUUUUCGGCCCAAUCCUUCCCUCUCUCUCCCGCGCGGCCGCGCUUCCUCCCCCCCUCGCGGCCCAAGCGGCCCAUCUCCCGCGCGCCCCCGCUCCCCUCCCUCUGCCACUGCUAGCCAGCCCCACCCGUCAGCCGCACUCGCCCUCCCUCCCUCACAACCGCUCUCUUUCUGGCAAGCGGGUCCCGCUUGUCAGCACCUUCCUCGUGCCCGUGACCAGGCUAUUGGCGCGAUCGCCACCGGUCGCCACCGCCCCGUCGUCUCGCCAUUAACUCGCUAACCAGCACAGUUGCCGCCUUGCGUCCCUGUCCCCUUGCGCCAGCCGAGCCAUCCCGUCACCACCUGCCCGAGCCAUCUCGUCGUCACCACUGUGCACCACCAUCACCGCCGUGGCGAGCUCGCUGGUGCUCGCCACCUCUCGCCCCCUUCCCCGCCCCGGGCGCCUAUAAAAGGACCACCCGAGCUCCCUCUUUCUCCACACCGGCCUCGACCACUCCCUCUCCCCUUCCCCGAGCUCGAUUGAGCCAGCGCCGUCGCGCCCUUCCUCCGCUCUGGUGAGUCCCGCCCUCCCCUCUCUGUUAAGUCCUAGUCCAAUUGUUGUUGCUCUUGAGCUUCACCGUUCCAUCACAAGCACAACACACCCAUCCCCUUCACCUAUUGCGCCCGACAACCUCGCCGGCGAUCCCACUGCCGCUGGCGCCCACCACCUCGCCGUGGAGCGACCAUCCCAAGCACCCUCCGGCCAAAUUGGCCCCACCACCAUGAUCCCCUACCCCUGCCCGUGCCUUGCCACCACUCCAUCGUCACAGAACCGGGACCCCGACGGAGAACCGCCGCGGGGCCUCACCGGCGGUCGAGCCCCAGCCGGUUCGCCCCCUCCCUCGUCCGACCACCCAACGCCGUCAGCCUCCCCUCCCUCUGGCACGUGGGCCCACGCCCACGGCGCCGUCCCCGCGUCGUUCCCCCGCUGGCGGGCCAAGUGGGCCGCCUGCCCACGCGGCCGCGCGCGCCCGCGCUCGGCUGGGCCGAAUUCUCCCCCCGGCCCAACUAGCUGAGGAAACCCCUUUUCUUUUUAUUUCUCCUUUUUCUUUUCCUAUUUUUAUAUAUAUGUAUAUAUAUUGAUAUUUUAUGCACCAAAAAUCGUCUAAAUAAAUUAUAGGGCACAAAAUAAUAAUGUCUAACAAUUGGCACACCCCACCAAGUCACCAUGAUUGAUGUACUGUUCAUUACCUAUUUUUGCUAGAAGAAGAGGGAUCCGAUCCUCCGGAAUUUGUAGCUCCAGAAGAAGGGCAGGAACCCGACCUCUCCGAAAUAGAUCUUUCGUGCCAGGAGAACUUCGACGAAGGCAAGUCCAUUCUUCCCUUGAUGCAUAAAUUACCUACUCUUUCUACCACCACCUAAGCCGAGAAUAAGGGAUGGGUCUUUUGCAUUGUGAGCAGAGAGAUAGCCCGCAUUAACAAACAUCUUUUGAGUACAAAAUGUGGGAUGAGAAAAGGGCAGUGUUUUUACUAAGCGAUGUUUCCAAAAAGUGUAUGAUGAAGGGUAUUCACCCUCAUCACCUUUUGAGCGGGAUGAUCAGGGACUCCCUGGUUUAGGGGAGGGCAUAAGGUGAUGGCUCAGCCGGGUUAGGUGUGAGUAGAAGGAUUAUCCCCUCAUAUAAGGACCGGUUUGUCAUCCUUCACUACAUGUACUCAUGAUAAGUACAACCACUCGAGGCUGUAUGGGCAAUCACUCAUUAUGAACUCGUACGGUCCAAACCCCAGGGUUAUGAUGGCUGGGGAGCACCGGGAGGAUAAGGAGGGGGAAUGUUUUGUCUGGUUUGGACAUGGCGGUUGGCCCGACUCCUUCCGGUAUUACCGUUAAGGUAAGGACGUGCGAGGAAAGAGAGAGAUUCGGCAUUCGGAUCUCACGACGGUGAGAUCGCAGAAACCGGACUAGUGGGUAAAGUGUAUCCCUCUACGCAGAGUUCAAACCUAUUCGAAUAGUCCGUGUCCACUAGAAUGGACGAGUCUGGUGUGGUAUGACAAUUAGUGGUUUAUAAACCUCCGGGAACAGGGAAAUGUGUGAGUGGGUGUGUUUUUGGAAAUGAAAACGAUGCCACGGGAGUGGGAAGCUCAGUGGUGGUUGAGUGUGAAAAUGUGCUACUUCCUUCUUUGGGAAAACCAUCAAAGUAUUGCCUUUCUCUGGGAAAAAGAAGAGUGACUUCAACUCCACCAUAUAAAGCAUGUAUUAUAUAGGUCCCUUUCUCUUUACGGGCGGGAUGGGCUUGCAGAAUACCUACUGUAUUCACCCAGAUUUAUUUAUGUUUUUCAGCAGCUGAAGACUUCUUUUCUGCUAUGCUUGAUUAAAGGGGAUUGUGU
rnacentral:lncRNA from 1 species